AUUGAACGCUGGCGGCAGGCCUAACACAUGCAAGUCGAACGAGUGGCGGACGGGUGAGUAAUGUCUGGGAAACUGCGUGAUGGAGGGGGAUAACUACUGGAAACGGUAGCUAAUACCGCAUACCAUCAGAUGUGCCCAGAUGGGAUGAGCUGGUUGGGGGGGUAACGGAUAACAAAGGCGACGAUCCCUAGCUGGUCUGAGAGGAGGACCAGCCACACUGGAACUGAGACACGGUCCAGACUCCUACGGGAGGCAGCAGUGGGGAAUAUUGCACAAGGGGCGAAAGCCUGAUGCAGCCAUGCCGCGUGUAUGAAGAAGGCCUUCGGAUUGUAAAGCACUUUCAGCGGGGAGGCGUUACCCGCAGAAGAAGCACCGGCUAACUCCGUGCCAGCAGCCGCGGUAAUAC
rnacentral:rRNA from 1 species